GCAUAAUACCGCUUUGCCGGUGCCCUUCGGGGCUUCAAGGGAACACAGUUGAAGCUGUGGCUGCCCCCGCAACUGUAAGCAGCGAGUCCACACCCCCAGGGUGCCACUGGAGAACCGGGAAGGCCGGUGCGGACGACGACCUGCGAGCCAGGAGACCUGCCGGCCCAUCGAUCGUGCA
rnacentral:ncRNA from 2 species